rnacentral:rRNA from 1 species
AUUGAACGCUGGCGGAAUGCUUUACACAUGCAAGUCGAGCGGCAGCGCGGGGCAACCUGGCGGCGAGCGGCGAACGGGUGAGUAAUGUAUCGGAACGUAUCCUUAAGUGGGGGACAACUAGUCGAAAGACUAGCUAAUACCGCAUACGAUCGAGAGAUGAAAGUGGGGGACCGCAAGGCCUCACGCUUUUGGAGCGGCCGAUAUCCGAUUAGCUUGUUGGUGAGGUAAAGGCUUACCAAGGCUAUGAUCGGUAGCUGGUCUGAGAGGAUGAUCAGCCACACUGGGACUGAGACACGGCCCAGACUCCUACGGGAGGCAGCAGUGGGGAAUUUUGGACAAUGGGGGCAACCCUGAUCCAGCCAUUCCGCGUGAGUGAAGAAGG